rnacentral:antisense_RNA from 1 species
AUUCAUGGCGGACUGCGCGAGGGCGCCUUCGGGCGCACCGUUCUCCUGGACGGCAAGGUCAACCCCGCACAGUUCGCCACCUUA